AAGGAUCGGCCUGCGUCUGAUUAGCUAGUUGGUGGGGUAAAGGCCUACCAAGGCAAUGAUCAGUAGUUGGUCUGAGAGGAUGACCAGCCAGAGUGGGACUGAGAUACGGCCCACACUUCUACGGAAGGCAGCAGUAGGGAAUUUUGCGCAAUGGGCGAAAGCCUGACGCAGCAACACCGCGUGUAGGAUGAAGGUUUUAGGAUCGUAAACUACUGUCAGCAGGGAAUAAAUUGACUGUACCUGCAGAGGAAGCAUCGGCUAACUACGUGCCAGCAGCCGCGGUAAGACGUAGGAUGCAAGCGUUGUCCGGAAUUAUUGGGCGUAAAGAGUUCGUAGGCGGUUAUCUAAGUCUGGUGUUAAAGCCCGAAGCUCAACUUCGGCAUGGCAUCGGAAACUGGGUAGCUAGAGUGUGGUAGAGGUAUCGGGAAUUCCUGUGUAGCGGUGAAAUGCGUAGAUAUCAGGAGGAACACCGGUGGCGAAAGCGCGAUACUGGGCCAUAACUGACGCUGAGGAACGAAAGCCAGGGGAGCGAAAGGGAUUAGAUACCCUUGUAGUCCUGGCCGUAAACGAUGGAUACUAGGUGUUGGAGGAUUCGACCCCUUCAGUGCCGUAGCUAACGCGAUAAGUAUCCCGCCUGGGGAGUACGACCGCAAGGUUGAAACUCAAAGGAAUUGACGGGGGCCCGCACAAGCGGUGGAACAUGUGGUUUAAUUCGAUGCAACGCGAAGAACCUUACCUGGGCUUGACAUCUUUGGAACCUUGCGGAAACGUGAGGGUGCCUUCGGGAGCCAAAAGACAGGUGGUGCACGGUUGUCGUCAGCUCGUGUCGUGAGAUGUUGGGUUAAGUCCCGCAACGAGCGCAACCCUCGUGGUCUGUUGUUACAGGUCGUAAGAUGCUGAACCCUCAGGCCAGACUGCC
rnacentral:rRNA from 1 species